rnacentral:lncRNA from 1 species
UGGCUCUCUCUCUCUCUCUCUCUCUCUUGAAGGCUUUCUUCGUCUCUGUAAGACUGUAACUGAGAAGGAAAGGGAUCGCCAGUGAAUUGCAGGAACAUAAGGAAUAAAGUGGGGCAAGUUUUUAGAUAAUUUGAACAAUCUGUAAGUGACCUUACUUUCUCAGCAAAUUCUACAAAAGGAAGUUACUUGUACUCGAUUUAAUUUCCACCAAUUUUGAGUUUUUUUUUUAUAUAUUUAAUUUCUUGGUCUUAUUAAUUUGUACAAUAUUAGAUUUUCAUCCUAUUACAAUAUCAGAUCAAAUUAAUGAAUUAACUAUUACAAUAUUGGAUAUUUUCCAAAUCUAGAGCAAUUAAUUGCCGGACAUUGAGUUCUAGAACUAAUAAUAAUGAUAGCUAGAUGAACAAAUAAGAAAGAUUUAUGCUUAAAUUAAUAUGUUUAUUUAAAAUUAAAGCACAAACUUGACUUUGAUUCCUAAACAAAACUACAUUAAUAAAAAAAAAAAAAAAUACAUAUAAUUCUAGCUACUUUAUGGAUUUUAAUUCUGUUUGAGUGUAUCAAUAAACCUUCCAUUAACUAUAUCAUUGUUUGUGAUAAAAUCCAGAAAGUCUCUGAAGCUGAACUCUUUGUAAGACUGUGGAUGUUGUUUGUCCACGAGCAUUGGUGCAGGCCCUACUUUCUUGUCCAAAGGAAGACUGUGGAGACUUGCAAUGGAAAGUCUACUUUUCUCAGCGCUAACUGUUGCUCUGUGCAG